UACGUAGGGUGCAAGCGUUGUCCGGAAUUAUUGGGCGUAAAGAGCUCGUAGGCGGUCUGUCGCGUCGGCUGUGAAAUCCCGGAGCUCAACUCCGGGCCUGCAGUCGAUACGGGCAAACUGGAGUGUUGCAGGGGAGACUGGAAUUCCUGGUGUAGCGGUGAAAUGCGCAGAGAUCAGGAGGAACACCGGUGGCGAAGGCGGGGCUCUGGGCCGUAACUGACGCUGAGGAGCGAAAGCAUGGGGAGCGAACAGG
rnacentral:rRNA from 1 species